UACAGAGGUCUCAAGCGUUUGUUCGGAUUCAUUGGGCGUAAAGAGCGCGCAGGCGGUCGUUCAAGUCGAGUGUGAAAGCCCCCGGCUCAACUGGGGAGGGUCACUCGAUACUGAUCGACUCGAAGGCAGGAGAGGGUAGUGGAAUUCCCGGUGUAGUGGUGAAAUGCGUAGAUAUCGGGAGGAACACCAGUGGCGAAGGCGACUACCUGGCCUGUUCUUGACGCUGAGGCGCGAAAGCUAGGGGAGCAAACGGGG
rnacentral:rRNA from 1 species